rnacentral:rRNA from 1 species
CCUACGGGGUGCUGCAGUGGGGAAUAUUGGACAAUGGGCGAAAGCCUGAUCCAGCCAUGCCGCGUGUGUGAAGAAGGCCUUCGGGUUGUAAAGCACUUUCAGUGGGGAAGAAAGCCUUGGGGCUAAUACCCUCGAGGAAGGACAUCACCCACAGAAGAAGCACCGGCUAACUCCGUGCCAGCAGCCGCGGUAAUACGGAGGGUGCGAGCGUUAAUCGGAAUUACUGGGCGUAAAGCGCGCGUAGGCGGUCUGAUAAGCCGGUUGUGAAAGCCCCGGGCUCAACCUGGGAACGGCAUCCGGAACUGUCAGGCUAGAGUGCAGGAGAGGAAGGUAGAAUUCCCGGUGGAGCGGUGAAAUGCGUAGAGAUCGGGAGGAAUACCAGUGGCGAAGGCGGCCUUCUGGACUGACACUGACGCUGAGGUGCGAAAGCGUGGGUAGCAAACAGGAUUAGAUACCCUUGUAGUC